GAAUCAUUCACAAUGGGCGAAAGCCUGAUGGUGCGACGCCGCGUGGGGGACGAAGGUCUUCGGAUUGUAAACCCCUGUCACCGGGGACAAAACGUCGUCUGUUAACAGCAGCCGACCUGAUUUAACCCGGAGAGGAAGCAGUGGCUAACUCUGUGCCAGCAGCCGCGGUAAUACAGAGACUGCAAGCGUUGUUCGGAUUCACUGGGCGUAAAGGGUGCGCAGGCGGCCGGGUGUGUCGGGUGUGAAAGCUCGAGGCUUAACCUCGAAAUUGCGCCCGAAACUAUCCGGCUAGAGUACUGGAGAGGGAAGCGGAAUUCACGGUGUAGCAGUGAAAUGCGUAGAUAUCGUGAGGAACACCAAUGGCGAAGGCAGCUUCCUGGACAGUUACUGACGCUCAGGCACGAAAGCGUGGGGAGCAAAA
rnacentral:rRNA from 1 species